rnacentral:tRNA from 1 species
GGAGAUGUUUAGUAUCUGGUGAUACUUGCGGUCUUCAAAACCGUCACAGGGCCUAAUAAGUCCUCGGUGGGUUCGAUUCCCAUACAUCUCCGCCA